rnacentral:rRNA from 1 species
GACGUAGGGCGCGAGCGUUGUCCGGAUUUAUUGGGCGUAAAGAGCUCGUAGGCGGCUUGUCGCGUCGACCGUGAAAACUUGGGGCUCAACCCCAAGCCUGCGGUCGAUACGGGCAGGCUCGAGUUCGGUAGGGGAGACUGGAAUUCCUGGUGUAGCGGUGAAAUGCGCAGAUAUCAGGAGGAACACCGGUGGCGAAGGCGGGUCUCUGGGCCGAUACUGGCGCUGAGGAGCGAAAGCGUGGGGAGCGAACAGG